UGGUGGAGUGAUUUGUCUGGUUAAUUCCGUUAACGAACGAGACCUCGGCCUACUAAUUAGUUUGCUCAAUGUUGCCAUUGGGUAAACUUCUUAGAGGGACUAUCGGAUAUGCAGCCGGUGGAAGUGCGAGGCAAUAACA
rnacentral:rRNA from 1 species